rnacentral:rRNA from 1 species
UAGGGAAUCUUCCGCAAUGGACGAAAGUCUGACGGAGCAACGCCGCGUGAGUGAAGAAGGAUUUCGGUUCGUAAAACUCUGUUGUUAGGGAAGAAAAAAUGUAUAGUAACUAUAUACAAAAGAGACGGUACCUAACCAGAAAGCCACGGCUAACUACGUGCCAGCAGCCGCGGUAAUUCGUAGGUGGCAAGCGUUGUCCGGAAGUAUUGGGCGUAAAGCGCGCGCAGGUGGUUUAGAAAGUCUGAUGUGAAAACCCACGGCUCAACCGUGGAGGGUCAUUGGAAACUAAUACACAUGAGUGCAGGCGAGAAAAGUGGAAAUCCUAGUUUAGCGGUAACAUGCGUAGAGAUUAGGAGGAACACCUGUGGCGAAAGCGGCUUUUUGGCCUGAAACUGACACUGAGGCGCGAAAGCGUGGGGAGCAAACAGG